rnacentral:rRNA from 1 species
AACGAACGCUGGCGGCAUGCCUAACACAUGCAAGUCGAACGAGACCUCCGGGUCUAGUUGCGCACGUGUGCGUAACGCGGGGGAACCUGCCCGUAGGUUCGGUAUAACUCCCCGAAAGGUGUCCUAAUACCGGUUAAGCUCUUCCGACCAAAGAUUUAUUGCUAUUGGAUGGGCCCGGGUUGGUUUGGCUAGUUGGUAGGGUAACAGCCAGCCACGGCGUCGAUCCAUAGCUGGGCGGAGAGGAGGAUCAGCCACACUGGCGCUGAGACACGGACCAGACUCCUACGGAAGGGUGCAGUAGAGAAUAUUAGGGGAGGGGCGAAGGCCUGACCAAGCAGUGCCGGGUAAGUGAUGAAGGCCUUAGGGUUGUAAAGCUCUUUUACCCGAGAUGAUAAUGACGGUACCGGGAGAAUAAGCACCGGCUAACUCCGUG